CGUGCCUAAUACAUGCAAGUAGAACGCUGAAGGAGGAGCUUGCUCUUCUGGAUGAGUUGCGAACGGGUGAGUAACGCGUAGGUAACCUGCCUGGUAGCGGGGGAUAACUAUUGGAAACGAUAGCUAAUACCGCAUAACAUUGACUAUUGCAUGAUAGUCAAUUGAAAGGUGCAAAUGCACCACUAUCAGAUGGACCUGCGUUGUAUUAGCUAGUUGGUGGGGUAACGGCUCACCAAGGCGACGAUACAUAGCCGACCUGAGAGGGUGAUCGGCCACACUGGGACU
rnacentral:rRNA from 1 species